rnacentral:rRNA from 1 species
ACGUGCUUGCACGGACUUGACGUUGGUUUACCAGCGAGUGGCGGACGGGUGAGUAACACGUAGGUAACCUGCCCCAAAGCGGGGGAUAACAUUUGGAAACAGAUGCUAAUACCGCAUAACAAUUUGAAUCGCAUGAUUCAAAUUUAAAAGAUGGUUUCGGCUAUCACUUUGGGAUGGACCUGCGGCGCAUUAGCUUGUUGGUAGGGUAACGGCCUACCAAGGCUGUGAUGCGUAGCCGAGUUGAGAGACUGAUCGGCCACAAUGGAACUGAGACACGGUCCAUACUCCUACGGGAGGCAGCAGUAGGGAAUCUUCCACAAUGGGCGCAAGCCUGAUGGAGCAACACCGCGUGAGUGAAGAAGGGUUUCGGCUCGUAAAGCUCUGUUGUUAGAGAAGAACGUGCGUGAGAGCAACUGUUCACGCAGUGACGGUAUCUAACCAGAAAGUCACGGCUAACUACGUGCCAGCAGCCGCGGUAAUACGUAGGUGGCAAGCGUUAUCCGGAUUUAUUGGGCGUAAAGCGAGCGCAGGCGGUUUGAUAAGUCUGAUGUGAAAGCCUUUGGCUUAACCAAAGAAGUGCAUCGGAAACUGUCAGACUUGAGUGCAGAAGAGGACAGUGGAACUCCAUGUGUAGCGGUGGAAUGCGUAGAUAUAUGGAAGAACACCAGUGGCGAAGGCGGCUGUCUGGUCUGCAACUGACGCUUAGGCUCGAAAGCAUGGG